rnacentral:rRNA from 1 species
AUUGAACGCUGGCGGCAGGCCUAACACAUGCCAGUCGAGCGGAUGCAGAGAGAUUGCUCCUGGAAAAAGAGGAAGAAGAAUAAGUAAUGCAUACGAAAAUGAAUGAAAGUGGGGGAUAACGUCCGGAACCGGGCGCUAAUACCGCAUACGUCCUGAGGGAGAAAGUGGGGGAUCUUCGGACCUCACGCUAUCAGAUGAGCCUAGGUCGGAUUAGCUAGUUGGUGGGGUAAAGGCCUACCAAGGCGACGAUCCGUAACUGGUCUGAGAGGAUGAUCAGUCACACUGGAACUGAGACACGGUCCAGACUCCUACGGGAGGCAGCAGUGGGGAAUAUUGGACAAUGGGCGAAAGCCUGAUCCAGCCAUGCCGCGUGUGUGAAGAAGGUCUUCGGAUUGUAAAGCACUUUAAGUUGGGAGGAAGGGCAGUAAGUUAAUACCUUGCUGUUUUUACGUUACCAACAGAAUAAGCACCGGCUAACUUCGUG